UUCCCUCAAAUCCAUAGCUUCCAAAAAAUCCACGUCUUCCAGGAAAUCUGUGUCUUCCAGCAAAUCCAUGUCUUCCAACAAAGCCAUGUCUUCCAGACUAUCCACGUCUUCCAGAAAAUCCUUGUCUUCCCUCAAAUCCAUAGCUUCCGAAAAAUCCAGGUCUUCCAGGAAAUCUGUGUCUUCCAGCAAAUGCACGUCUUCCAACAAAGCCAUGUCUUCCAUCAAAUUAAUGUCUUCCAGCCUACCUGUGUCUUCCAACAAAGGUCUUCCAGCAUCUCCAGGGCUUCCAGCAUCUGCUCGUCUUCCAACAUCUCCCCGUCUUCCAGCAUCUCUGUGUCUUCCAGCAUCUUCAUGUCUUCCAACAACUACCCAGUCUUCCAUCAACUGGCUCAAUAUCCAUGUCUUCCAACGUCUCCAGUGUGCUGAUCUUCUAACAUUCAGGUCUUCCAGUGUCUGCAAUAUCCAGGUAUUCUAACAUAUUCUAUAGUCCAGAUCUUCCAACCUUUCCCCAGGUCCAGGCCUUUUCAAAUCUAGGCUUCCCCUGUCUGAGCCUUCCCAUGUUAAAAUCACUCUACAGAAAAAUCUUCCAACUCAACUAUUUCUGCUUCUAGUUGAAUUAGCUUCAAAAACAUUUAAUGGGACAUUCCUCCUUAUAGACCAGAUCUUACUGCAGUUUGUGUUUUUUACAAUUAGGCAAUGUGUAUUUAAUCUCUACAACUUUUAAAAAUAAUGUCCACAAUAAAACUUCUGCAGAAUAAACAGAUAGGACUGCUGCAAUAAAUUUUACUACUUCACUAGUGCUUACAGUUUUUAUACAGUUGACUAUGUUUAGGUCUAAGUGAAAUUUUUAUUUAAUGAGAAAAAUUCCUGUUUAAGACUGGUAUUUUAGGUAAAGUUAACAUGUAGUGUAUUAUUUGUCCAUUUUAAAUGAUAUCAAUUUUUAACGUUGGUCUUAUGUGACCAAAGAAUAAUAUAAUAAUAAUAACAACAACACUUAACAUAGCAUUUGCUACGUCCAGGCACUGUUCUAAGAUCCUUACAUGCAUUAACUCAUUUAAUCUUCACAACAACCCAUUGAAGCUAGGUACCAUCAUUAUCCCUAUUUUACAGAUGAGGAAACUGGCACACAGAGGUGAAGUAAAUUGUCCACAGGACACAACUACUAAAUAAUGGAGCCGGACCUGGCUAGCCUGUUGUGAGAGUCCAUGAUUGUAACCACUAUGUUGUGAUAUCUGCUGUUUAAAAUCAUGAUAGAAUGAUGUGAUCCAAAGGUUGACUGCUUCCACAUUAUGUGUAGAAUAUUAUACAAUUCCAUAUACAAAUGGUCUCGCUUGAUCCUGUCACUGCCAGAGUCUAUUUGUAUGCACAGCUUUUAUUCCCCAACCAGCUACUACCAUUCCCUUGGUCCUGUAUAUGGAAGUAGGUGCAAACACUUUCUGAUACCAUAAGGAAGCAGAGUUCAAUUACCCUUUGCUUCAGAAUCAUAUUCAUAGCUCCAUGCUUUGAGUACUGGUGCUUGGAAUUUAUCUCUUCUAUCUGUUUGAAUCCCUUAUUACUGACUAUUCUCCAGUUUGUACCUUACUAUGUGGAGCACUUACCUUUAGUUUGUUUCUAACCUCCAGCAUCUACCUGCUUCCUGGGUUCCUGAUCACUGCGUUGUAUCCAACUAAUGGUAGCUACAACUCCUUAAAUCGCAGCAUGCUGAUCUAGAGAACUAACUACUUGGUUCUCUAAGUCUCAGCUCCCACCAGGUACCUUCAGCAAUGUUGCUACCCAGGCCUCUGGCUGACGUGAAAACCAUGAAAACCACAUAAUUAAAUUUUUACAGUUAGGCAGGGACUCUCUAAAGAUUUAAAAUCAUCUAUAAUGUAACAAAAAGGAACAAUAAUAAUAAUACCAAUUAAAAUAGAAAUACUUUCUGAAUGUCUAAUGAUUUAUACUUUAUAGAGUGCUGUCACCUCAUUCAUUCAUUCAUUCAUUCAACAAAUAUUUAUUGAGCGCUAACUGUAUGCCAGGUUUGUUUUGAUAAAGCUUAAAAUCAUCUGUGGGAAACAAACGUACAGAUAAUCGAAAAAUUACUUAUCAAUUGUAAGGCCAUGAAGAAAAAGUAACCGAGAGUCUGGAAAAUCAAGGAAAGCAUUCCUAAAGAAGUAAUAUUUAUUGUGACUCUGAAGAAUCUGUAUUCUCAUUUGGUUCUCACAAUAUAGCCUUGUGACUUAAAUAAAAAAGAUUUUUAUAUAUCAGUUUUACUAAUCUGAGUGCUAACAAUAGCCAUGGGACCCAGCUGUU